UACGGAGGAUGCGAGCGUUAUCCGGAUUUAUUGGGUUUAAAGGGUGCGUAGGCGGACGCUUAAGUCAGCGGUAAAAUUGCGGGGCUCAACCUCGUCGAGCCGUUGAAACUGGGUGCCUUGAGUGGGCGAGAAGUACGCGGGAUGCGUGGUGUAGCGGUGAAAUGCAUAGAUAUCACGCAGAACUCCGAUUGCGAAGGCAGCGUACCGGCGCCCUACUGACGCUGAAGCACGAAGGCGUGGGUAUCGAACAGG
rnacentral:rRNA from 1 species